CUGACUGAUCUGAACUCCAGUUCCAGGUGAGUCUCUGGGGACCCAGACUCAUACGGGGAAAAACUGGACUGUCUGGCAUCGGUCAGA
rfam:Myotis lucifugus cont2.167, whole genome shotgun sequence.